UAAGCAUAUCAAUAAGCGGAGGAAAAGAAACUAACAAGGAUUCCCCUAGUAACUGCGAGUGAAGCGGGAUGAGCUCAAAUUUAAAAUCUGGCGUCUUCGGCGUCCGAGUUGUAAUUUAGAGAAGCGUUUUCCGCGCCGGACCGUGUACAAGUCUCCUGGAACGGAGCGUCAUAGAGGGUGAGAAUCCCGUCUUUGACACGGACAACCGGUGCUCUGUGAUACGCUCUCGAAGAGUCGAGUUGUUUGGGAAUGCAGCUCAAAAUGGGUGGUGAACUCCAUCUAAAGCUAAAUAUUGGCGAGAGACCGAUAGCGAACAAGUACCGUGAGGGAAAGAUGAAAAGCACUUUGGAAAGAGAGUGAAAUAGUACGUGAAAUUGUUGAAAGGGAAACGCUUGAAGUCAGUCGCGUCCGCCGGGAUUCAGCCUUACGGUGUACUUUCCGGUGGACGGGCCAGCAUCACUUUCAAUCAUUGGAAAAGGGCGAAGGGAAUGUGGCACCUCCGGGUGUGUUAUAGCCCUUUGUCGUAUACAGUGACUGGGAGUGAGGACCGCCUUUGUAGGAUGCUGGCGUAAUGGCUUUAAACGACCCGUCUUGAAACACGGACCAAGGAGUCUAACAUGCCCGCGAGUGUUCGGGUGGAAAACCCGUGCGCGUAAUGAAAGUGAAAGUUGGGAAGGCUAUCGUGGCCUGCACCGACGCCCGGACUUGAGAUUUAUCGAAGGUUCUGCGGUAGAGCGUGUAUGUUGGGACCCGAAAGAUGGUGAACUAUGCCUGAAUAGGGUGAAGCCAGAGGAAACUCUGGUGGAGGCUCGUAGCGAUUCUGACGUGCAAAUCGAUCGUCAAAUUUGGGUAUAGGGGCGAAAGACUAAUCGAACCAUCUAGUAGCUGGUUCCUGCCGAGU
rnacentral:rRNA from 1 species